rnacentral:rRNA from 1 species
GAUGAACGCUGGCGGCGUGCCUAAUACAUGCAAGUCGAGCGAACAGACGAGGAGCUUGCUCCUCUGACGUUAGCGGCGGACGGGUGAGUAACACGUGGAUAACCUACCUAUAAGACUGGGAUAACUUCGGGAAACCGGAGCUAAUACCGGAUAAUAUAUUGAACCGCAUGGUUCAAUAGUGAAAGACGGUUUUGCUGUCACUUAUAGAUGGAUCCGCGCCGCAUUAGCUAGUUGGUAAGGUAACGGCUUACCAAGGCAACGAUGCAUAGCCGACCUGAGAGGGUGAUCGGCCACACUGGAACUGAGACACGGUCCAGACUCCUACGGGAGGCAGCAGUAGGGAAUCUUCCGCAAUGGGCGAAAGCUUGACGGAGCAACGCCGCGUGAGUGAUGAAGGUCUUCGGAUCGUAAAACUCUGUUAUUAGGGAAGAACAAAUGUGUAAGUAACUAUGCACAUCUUGACGGUACCUAAUCAGAAAGCCACGGCUAACUACGUG